rnacentral:lncRNA from 1 species
CUUUUGAAUAACGAUAACAAGCAAAAUUCAAAAUUUAUAACAUGACCUUGACCUUCGACCUUGAUCUCAAUUUCAAGGUCAUAGGUCAGUGAACUCAAAACGCAAGACCGGAGGUCAAUCACUUGUAUGGUUGUGGAGAAAUACUGAUUUGAAAUACAUAAGGGGAGAAAACUCCUAUAAGGGUUAACCAAAACACUUUGACUGAAAUAGGUUGAAGUUGCGCCUUAUUGUAAACAGUAAUUUGGCAAAC